UACGUAGGGUGCAAGCGUUAAUCGGAAUUACUGGGCGUAAAGCGUGCGCAGGCGGUUCUAUAAGACAGGUGUGAAAGCCCCGAGCUUAACUUGGGAAUUGCGCUUGUGACUGGCGUGCUGGAGUACUGGCAGGGGAGACUGGAAUUCCUGGUGUAGCGGUAGAAAUGCGCAGAUAUCAGGAGGAACACCGGUGGCGAAGGCGGGUCUCUGGGCAGUAACUGACGCUGGAGGAGCGAAAGCGUGGGGAGCGAACAGG
rnacentral:rRNA from 1 species